rnacentral:rRNA from 1 species
GUGGGGAAUCUUGCGCAAUGGGCGAAAGCCUGACGCAGCCAUGCCGCGUGGAUGAUGAAGGUCUUAGGAUUGUAAAAUCCUUUCACCGGUGAAGAUAAUGACUGUAGCCGGAGAAGAAGCCCCGGCUAACUUCGUGCCAGCAGCCGCGGUAAUACGAAGGGGGCUAGCGUUGCUCGGAUUUACUGGGCGUGAAGGGCGCGUAGGCGGACAUUUAAGUCAGGGGUGAAAUCCCGGGGCUCAACCUCGGAACUGCCUUUGAUACUGGGUGUCUUGAGUAUGAGAGAGGUGUGUGGAACUCCGAGUGUAGAGGUGAAAUUCGUAGAUAUUCGGAAGAACACCAGUGGCGAAGGCGACACACUGGCACAUUACUGACGCUGAGGCGCGAAAGCGUGGGGAGCAAACAGGAUUAGAAACCCUUGUAGUCC